rnacentral:rRNA from 1 species
GACGAACGCUGGCGGCGUGCUUAACACAUGCAAGUCGAACGAAGUGGCGAACGGGUGAGUAACGCGUAAUCAACCUGCCCUUCAGAGGGGGACAACAGUUGGAAACGACUGCUAAUACCGCAUACUGAAGGAGGGGAUUGCGUUUGAUUGGCUAGUUGGAGGGGUAACGGCCCACCACGGCGAUGAUCAGUAGGCGGGCUGGGAGGAUGAACGGCCACAAUGGGAAUGGGACACGGGCCAGACUCCUACGGGAGGCAGCAGUGGGGGAUCUUCCGAAAUGGACGAAAGGCUGACGGAGCAAAGCCGCGGGAGUGAUGACGGCCUUCGGGUUGGAAAGCUCUGUUAAUCGGGACGCGGUACCGGAAUAGAAAGCCACGGCUAACUACGUGCCAGCAGCCGCGGUAAUUC